rnacentral:lncRNA from 1 species
UUUAAUGGUAAGAUUUUUGGGGACGAAAAUCCUUAAGGGAGGAGAAUUCCAACAGUCCAGUUUAGACCCCAGUCGAAAGAGUGGUUUCAGGACCACAAAUAUGCGUCAGAAAAAUGUUUUAAUAUUAUUUCCUGUGUUUUUGAUGUGUGAAUUAGCAUGUGUGAAAGUCUCGUAUGAAAAUUUGAAUGUUUUUGUGCUUAAUUUAAUAAAAAUGAUCUAAUCCCG